UAGCCUCUCCCAAGACUCCCACGUCUAAGCUGGCCGCCCUCCCCAUCCCACACCCGGUGCACACAUGUUGGUAAUCAGGCAGCGUUGGACAGGGGCAGAGCAGCUAGGACAGGCUUCGGAUGCCACCACGGUAAGACGAAAGCGAAGCAUCGCCAACCUCCAGGUUGCAAUGGUGUGGAGGCUGAAUCCUGUCUUUUAAGAUAAAAUAGGAGCGCAGAGGCCGGCAGAGCCAGAUUGGGAAAGGCCACUUGAGCCUUGCAAAGGAGUUAACUCCAGAGUGCUGUGGAAAACACGUGCGAGGUACACGGUGCUGCAUGCCCCCACUGCCCAGGGAACUAAAGGACUGGCAGGAACUUCAGCCAGAUCAAGAGUCCCCCGUCUUGCAGCCAAGGAGUCUGGGUAAUUGAAAAGCCCGGACAGGAUCAAGACACCUCUCCUCCCCCAGUCCCUGGGUGGGUUGCCGCCUUUGAGAGCGCAGACGGCCACAAUGGCUGGAGCUGCACCCAUCUGAAGCCAGGAGCCAGGAGCUUCUUUCGGGUCUCCAAGUGGGUGCAGGGGCCCAAGGACUUGGGCCAUCUUCUGCUGCUUUCCCAGGCCAUAGCAGAGAGCUCGAUCGGAAGAGGAGCAGCAGGAACUAGAACCGGUGCCCAUGUGGGAUGCCGGCACUUCAGGCCAAGGCUUUAACCCACUGCACCACAGUGCCAGCCCCCAGAUUUGUGUUUAAGCUUAGAAAGUUCCUUGCAAACAGAAAUAAAGUACAUAUACAUUA